GAAGGCUUUAGCUUAAUUAAAGUGGUUGAGUUGCAUUCAAUUGAUGUUGGAUAAAGUCCUGCAAGCCUUAU
rnacentral:tRNA from 1 species